GUAGCUAUGAUGAGCCAUAACUUGUAAGAAGGCCAACUGAUCAACUGGUUCUUCAAUGAAAUAUAAGCUGAUACGCUUGGCUUCUGAGCUGA
rnacentral:snoRNA from 1 species